UAGUUAUGACCAAGGCUUUUAGGGUGCAGUUUCUCAUUCACUGGGGACAUGACCUUAAAAAUUCCUUCCCUCCGCUUUCUAUUACCUUUCUAGCAAUCAGCCUAUGGAAACAUUU
ensembl:snoRNA